UACGUAGGGUGCAAGCGUUGUCCGGAAUUAUUGGGCGUAAAGGGCUCGUAGGCGGCCAACUAAGUCAGACGUGAAAUCCCUCAGCUUAACUGGGGAACUGCGUCUGAUACUGGAUGGCUUGGAUUCGGGAGAGGAAUGCGGAAUUCCAGGUGUAGCGGUGAAAUUCGUAGAUAUCGGGAGGAACACCAGAGGCGAAGGCGGCCACCUGGACAGACACUGACGCUGAGACGCGAAAGCGUGGGGAGCAAACAGG
rnacentral:rRNA from 1 species